rnacentral:rRNA from 1 species
AAUGGAUGCCGCUGAAGCGUCGUGCCUAUGCUCGGCCGUCAGUGGCAGAGUGGGCUCCCGUGCGCGCGCGGAGACCCGGUAAGCCCUGACGAGUAGGAGGGCGCGGCGACGUGCGCAGAAGGGACCGAGGCGUGAGCCCGCCUGGAGCCGUCGCUGGUGCAGAUCUUGGUGGUAGUAGCAAAUACUCGAGUGAGAGCCCUGGAGGGCUGAUGUGGAGAAGGGUUCCUUGUGAACAGCCGUUGCACAAGGCUCAGUCGAUCCUAAGUCCUCGCCAAACAGCGAUGCGUGGUUCAACCGCCAGGGCGAAAGGGGACGCGGUCCCCAUUCCGCUACCUGGACGCGGAACCGCUCAUAUCGUGGCCCUCGUUGAGAGCCUCGUCGGGGUAACCCAAAAAGACCCGGAGAAGCUGAGGGGAGCUCCGGGGAGAGUUAUCUUUUCUGUAUCAGCGUUGUAGCUGCCUGGAAUCCUCUAGCAGGGAGAUAGGGAGCCGAACGCGGAGAGCAUCGCUUGCUGCGAUGUCCGGAGCCUCCCCCUCGGACCGUGAAAAUCCGGGAGAGGGCCACGCGAAGUCUCGCGCCAGGUCGUACUCAUAUCCGCAUCAGGUCUCCGAGGUGAAAAGCCUCUAGUCGUAUA